rnacentral:rRNA from 1 species
GAUGAACGCUAGCGGCAUGCUUAACACAUGCAAGUCGAACGGCAGCGGGUAAGUGCUUGCACUUAUGCCGGCGAGUGGCGAACGGGUGAGUAACGCGUAGGUAUCUGCCUUGAAGCGGGGGACAACUCGAGGAAACUCGAGCUAAUACCGCAUAAUCUCUUCGGAGGAAAGUUGGGGACCCCUUGGGGCCUGACGCUUUAAGAUGAGCCUGCGUCCGAUUAGCUUGUUGGUGGGGUAAAGGCCUACCAAGGCGACGAUCGGUAGCUGUUCUGAGAGGAAGAACAGCCACACUGGGACUGAGACACGGCCCAG